AGACAAUGUAGUCCAAGCACUCAGGGUCUUUUUCAUUUUUGAAAAAGACCCUGAGUGCCUGGACUACAUUUUCUUC